CGAGGACGAACGCUGGCGGCGUGCCUAACACAUGCAAGUCGAACGAGAUCCAUGGGAGCUUGCUCCCGGAAGAUCUAGUGGCGAACGGGUGAGUAACACGUGAGAAACCUGCCCUGGAGUGGGGAAUAACUCGGGGAAACUCGAGCUAAUACCGCAUACCCUCGGAUGGUCGCAUGGCCGACCGAGGAAAGAUUUAUCGCUCUAGGAGGGUCUCGCGGCCUAUCAGCUAGUUGGUGGGGUAACGGCCUACCAAGGCAACGACGGGUAGCUGGUUUGAGAGAACGAUCAGCCACACUGGGACUGAGACACGGCCCAGACUCCUACGGGAGGCAGCAGUGGGGAAUCUUGCGCAAUGGGCGAAAGCCUGACGCAGCAACGCCGCGUGCGGGAUGACGGCCUUCGUGGUUGUAAACCGCUUUCAGCAGGGACGAAAAUGACGGUACUUGCAGAAGAAGCCCCGGCUAACUACGUG
rnacentral:rRNA from 1 species